rnacentral:rRNA from 1 species
AUUGAACACUGGCGGCAGGCCUAACACAUGCAAGUCGAACGCGUGGCGGACGGGUGAGUUAUGUCUGGGAAACUGCGUGAUGGAGGGGGAUAACUACUGGACACGGUAGCUAAUACCGCAGACCAACAGGUGUGCCACGAUGGGAUAAGCUUGUUGGUGGGGUAACGGCUCACCAAGGCGACGAUCCCUAGCUGGUCUGAGAGGAUGACCAGCCACACUGGAACUGAGACACGGUCCAGACUCCUACGGGAGGCAGCAGUGGGGAAUAUUGCACAAUGGGCGCAAGCCUGAUACAGCCAUGCCGCGUGUAUGAAGAAGGCCUUCGGGUUGUAAAGUACUUUCAGCGGGGAGGCGUUACCCGCAGAAGAAGCACCGGCUAACUCCGUGCCAGCAGCCGCGGUAAUUC